CGCGCAAGUCAGGAAGGACGGAGGCGGUGUCGGCUGCCGCCACUCCGAACCCCCCAGGAGGCGGGGUUAAGCGUUCAGGGGCGGGGCUUAGAACACAGAGCGGGGCGGAGCCUUGGUUGAGUCACGCUGCCAGCCACCUCUGCCGGACCCUCUAUGCUCCGUCCUCGGUGGAUCUGCACAGCCCUGCUGCCUGGGGACUCUUAGAGCGCAGGCCCGGAUAAGUACUCUGAUCAACUCUUCUAGUCCCAGUUACCCAAAAGGAUCCCUUGCUGUCGCAUCUUCUAGCCAACUGGGGCUCUUCAGAGCGGUGGCCUGACCCUGUUGGGAUCUGAUUACUCAGUUAACUCAGACCAGCUUGUCUAGACUCCAUGAAGCCUGCCUCUUCCUGGACUCUCUGCUUCCCCGUGGCACUGCAGUACAAUAGCAUGGAAGCUGCUGCUGAUUUUCCUCAUGAAGAGAGAAAGAGGGAGGGGUGACCAGAAUUCCCAGAAAGCAACUGCAAGGCUUCCGCAAGGCUGAUUGACUGAUGAAAGAAGGCCUGAAAUGUCUAUGCUAAUAGCUUGUGAUCCCAUUGGAGUUCCUAUUGGCACUUGCAAUAGGAAAGAAUGACACAAUACUCAAAUUUGUGUAAUCUUCUGAAGAAAACAGAAGUUAUCUCCUGUGCUGGAGGGUUGAACCCAGAGCUUUGGACAUGCCAAGCAAAUGCUCUACCACUGGACUGCAUUCCCAGAGCCAAAGCAAUGGUCUGCUCUGUCCCCUUUAAGAGACAAGCCAUACCUACUACCUCCCCUGUCUGCUGAGACAGGCUGAUCUUCAGCUUCCAGCCUGAGCCCCUUC